rnacentral:lncRNA from 1 species
GCGAUUUAUAAACAAACACACCCUCCGACAGGAAUCGAACACUGCGAGUACUGUCAAUUAUUUUUCACCAGCUGAAAAACAAUCGUGUUGUGGCAGGAACAUCACAGCUUCGUAUCAGCGAGUUUUAUACCCAAGGCGAGCAUAAUUCAACAGGAUCAGCAUCAUCAGACAAGACAGGAGGUCAGUAUUUACUUAAGAUGGUACUACAAAGAGGAGGAAGUUGGAACUUGUCAGUCAGUAUUCUUUGUUUGGCAACAUAGAAUGUCUUAAAGCUGUUAGGUUAGCUGGAAAUUCAAGGGACUUACUGCUAUUGAGCUUUAAGGAC